CCAGCGGUAGCAAAGCGGUUAUGCAAUGGUCUGUAAAACCAUCCUAGGUAGGUUCGACUCCUACCCGCUGGA
rnacentral:tRNA from 1 species